UCCUUCGUGUCGUCUAAUUAAAGCAAGAACUGAGUUUAGGUCACGGCCAAGGUCCUCUGGUAGAGCGGCGUCUUUCUCUUGAAUGCGUGAUAACGCCUCGGCCACAUCUCGGUGAAAACGAUGUAUCUCUCCAGCUGCUUGCAAGCGUUGCUCGCGAUGUUGCAUCAGACCGAGGAGGUGUUGCCAGGAUUCUCUAUAUUUGAAUAUACCAAAUAUCAAAAUGAAUCUGUGAUCCGACAUUAAUUUUGAUUGUCGUCAUCGCGAAAUCUGUGAGUUGCAGUGGAAAAUUGGCAAAGUUAAUGAAAAGCGGCAAAAUUAAUGCAAAUAAGUCUAAAAAGAAUAAAAAUACUCAAUUGGAAAUUAAUUGGGAUAGUGAAACGAUGCUUCGAUGCCAAACUGCGAGAUUAAAGUACACAUGGGACAAUUACACUUUUUACGGGGUUGAAACUCACCGUAUGACUUCGUGCCUCCUUAAAACCUCUUGUACUGGGUCGUACUUGCUUGCUUACCCAAGUUGUUCUUGACGUUUUUCGAUAUCUUGAAUAUAAGGACUUUCGUUGGCAAUUAAUUUUUUUGCAAGCUCUUCGCACUGAUUGAACCUUUCCGAGCCAGCUUCGAUUCUGUGUUUAAAAUCGUCAAAUUUGGUUUGUAGUAUCAAUAAAUGUUCGUAAUCUUGUCCAUAAUCUUCUGACGCAGCUGCCUGUUCCUGUUCUUUGAUCCAUUGCUCUAAUUCUGUACUUUCUAAGAAAUAUUCAUGGCGAUACAUGCUUUCCAUGAGUCGCUGUUGUCUGGAUGUUGCCAGCCUCUGAAGUGCUCGUAUUUGCUGAGCAAUUGAUUGCUGCUUACUAGCUAUAGCUUUACUGUCUGGAUGUUUGGCAUUCACCAUUGCAGUUGCAGUGUGACCCAUUUCAGUUACGAUCCCAUUAUACGUAUCCAACUCCAAGUCUACAGCCU
rnacentral:misc_RNA from 1 species